rnacentral:rRNA from 1 species
GAUGAACGCUGGCGGUAUGCCUAACACAUGCAAGUCGAACGGUGUCUUCGGACAUAGUGGCGGACGGGUGAGUAACACGUAAGAACCUACCUUCAGGAUGGGGACAACAGUUGGAAACGACUGCUAAUACCCGAUGUGCCGAGAGGCGAAAGAUUUAUCGCCUGAAGAUGGGCUUGCGGCUGAUUAGCUAGUUGGUAGUGUAAGGGACUACCAAGGCAACGAUCAGUAGCUGGUCUGAGAGGAUGAGCAGCCACACUGGGACUGAGACACGGCCCAGACUCCUACGGGAGGCAGCAGUGGGGAAUUUUCCGCAAUGGGCGAAAGCCUGACGGAGCAAUACCGCGUGAGGGAGGAAGGUUCUUGGAUUGUAAACCUCUUUUCUCAGGGAAGAAUAAAUGACGGUACCUGAGGAAUAAGCAUCGGCUAACUCCGUGCCAGCAGCCGCCGUAACAC